GACGAACGCUGGCGGCGUGCCUAAUACAUGCAAGUUGAGCGAUGAAGAUUGGUGCUUGCCCCAAUUUGAAGAGCAGCGAACGGGUGAGUAACGCGUGGGGAAUCUGCCUUUGAGCGGGGGACAACAUUUGGAAACGAAUGCUAAUACCGCAUAACAACUUUAAACAUAAGUUUUAAGUUUGAAAGAUGCAAUUGCAUCACUCAAAGAUGAUCCCGCGUUGUAUUAGCUAGUUGGUGAGGUAAAGGCUCACCAAGGCGAUGAUACAUAGCCGACCUGAGAGGGUGAUCAGCCACAAUGGGACUGAGACACGGCCCAAACUCCUACGGGAGGCAGCAGUAGGGAAUCUUCGGCAAUGGACGAAAGUCUGACCGAGCAACGCCGCGUGAGUGAAGAAGGUUUUCGGAUCGUAAAACUCUGUUGGUAGAGAAGAACGUUGGUGAGAGUGGAAAGCUCAUCAAGUGACGGUAACUACCCAGAAAGGGACGGCUAACUACGUG
rnacentral:rRNA from 1 species